AUGCUCUAAAGGCUGAAAAUUUCUUUUGAGCGGGAUUUUGAUUUCUCCCCUUUUUCAUUCACGCGGUCGUCCCUCUUCAAUCAAUCUAAUCUUCAAAAUCCGAAUUUCCUUUUUCAUUCUCCUAUUUGAUUGAAGCUUCUUCUAAUCAAGAACCCUAAAUCUCUCCGUAUUCUAAAUGGGCGAUUCCAAAGACUGAAGAAAAGAUUGAGAAUGUCACAUUUCAAGUGAAGGAAGUUCAAUAUUCAAGUAGAAGGACGUCGUAGACGCCAUUCGAGAUCUUGAUGUGUACAGAAACCAAUGUCCUCUGGUAGAGAAACCGAUCAAGACAAGCUUGAAGUCACAAAGAGGAAGCUUCAAGAACUUUUUCAACAGACGGAAAGAGCUAGAUAGCGAGAAGGUCGAUGAUCGUAGUCGGUUUUGUGCUGGUAGUGGGAAUGAUAUAUGUUGGGUCUGGGCUUGCUGCCAAGCUUGCCCGAGUUAAGACUGAAGAAAAGAUUGAGAAUGCAACAUUUCAAGUGAAGGAAGUUCAAUAUUCAAGCACAAGGAAGCCUUAGACGCCAUUCGAGAUCUUGAUGUAUACAGAAACCAAUGUCCUCUGGUGGAGAAACCGAUCAAGACAAGCUUAAAGUCACAAAAAGGAAGCUUCAAGAACUUUUUCAACAUACAGAAAGAGCUAGAUGGUGAGAAGGUCGAUGAUCAUAGCCGGUGUUGUGCUGGUAGUGGGAAUGAUAUCUGUCGGGUCUGGGCUUGCUGCCAAGCUUGCCCGAGUUAAGUUCUUUCAUAUGGUAGUGCUCGUGAUAUGGGCAAUGAAGCUUCACUCGAGUUUUUAGAGCCCUAUAGUCGAAAUCACUCAAGCACACAAGAGCAAUUCAGCAAUCAAAUUGUUACCAUGAACACGUGCACGAAACAACUUGUGAAGUAAGUUUUUCUUUAAAUCAAUGUAGAGUGGAUGAAUUUACAUGUCUUUUUUACAUUAGUAACCUUAAUAUAUAUGAAAAAAUUCCGCCUCAUAUGACCUUGAGAUGCAAGGCGACCGAGGAUGCGGGAAUACCACACGAGGGGUGGUGAUGUGUAGUGUUUUUCAGAAGGUGGUGUUAAGACUGUGAUUUAGGCUUGAGGCGCCCACAUUGCGUGAGUUGUUAUGAAAUAGAGAUAAAAGAAAAGGGCUAGGAGAUGAGGGAACAGGUUAGGACUCACAUGAAACAUGAUGAAUAAGACUAAUGAUUGAGAAUGUUCAACAAUGACAUUGAAUAUACUGAUUCUGACUUAUUUUGAAUGGUGAAAGGAUUAAAUUUUUGUUGCAACCUUUGAUUGUGCUCUAACAGCUGAUUUUGAAAGCUAUGGUGAGGUGGAUAUUCAGGUUCAGCUAAACCUAUAAAAAAAUUUAGCUUAUAUGCUUCCUUCAUUUGGCAAAGUAAGUUACGUUUUAAUGUAACUUUUUUUUUAAUUAUUUUGGUUUGACUUUUCUAUGGUUUAGCUUUUUGGAAUCUCAAUAAGGUUGGUUAGGUCUGACAAAAAAAGAAGAAAACUGGCUAUAGUCAUUUGCCACUGGAUUAAGGAGGAGCCGGUUGACCAUCUCUUCGUGUCUUGCCACUUCCACUCAAAGUGUUUGGGAUCGGGUUGCAAGCUGGUGCCAUUUAACUGGGGUGUAUAUGUUUGAAAGCAAAGAUUUGGUCGGAUAUCAUUGCCAUGCGAGUGGGUCGACAAAAUAAAAAAAAUGGUGUACACUAUAAUGCAGACUGGAAUGUGGAGUAUAUGGCGUUUUUGAAACAACUUAGCAUUCAACCAGAAGAAUCCGAAUCUGGGGAGUGUUGUAGAGGAGCUAAAAAGGUUGGGGUACCUUGGGAUAAAAAAAAACAAUCAAAGGCGCAGGCUUUGACCUGGGAAAAAUGGAGAAUGUUUGAUUUAAAUUGUUGUGACUUUGGUUAUUUGUUCACAAUGUUUGUAUCUGGGGUGAGGGAUAAUAUGUUGUCCCAAAUUUUAUUUAAUUAAAUUUGAAGUCAUUUGCGUGGCUUUUCUCAUGAGGGGAGUUCUAUACUAUCGCCCACUAAUUUUGAUGGUU
rnacentral:lncRNA from 1 species